UGAAAAUAACACCUACCUAAUGUCAUAACUGUGUGUUACAUAAUGAAUAAAUGACGACGUGCCACGGAAUUAAGCACACAAGAUGUUAAUGUGGCCACAAUAUUAAGUCAUUUUACCCGUCCAGAGUUAAUUAUUCUGCGUAUAUCAUGGUUACUAAAACACCUCAAGACCUUUUUCUCAGAUGUUUUAUUUUAAGAUAUUUGUAAAGAUUCUAGCCUGCUCGUUACCAGAGCACUCGUGUAUUGAUUAUUUUCACAAGCAGAGGGCGCUGUGAGCUACACUGAUUGCUUGGCCAUGUGCUGCUACUUCAUUCCUGAAGAACUGAACCUGGACGACAGCAGGACUCUAUAAUCAUCAAUCCUCAGAAGAGACACCGUUGUCAAUAUAUAAAGAUACUGAAAUUGAUGGAGACACUUUAAUGAACCUAACUAAGACUAUGAAAGCUUAAAUAUUCCCAAAAAAUGAAGGAUGAAGUUAAAUUUAUAAGAUUACAAGAAAACCUAAAUACGGAGAUGCCAGCAAGACCACAGACACCACGAGACUUCCUGUUGAUAUUCAAGACAACAUAUUGCUUGUUUGUAGCAAAAAAAAAAAAAAAAAAAGCCCUUUGACAGGACAAAGCAAACAAGAUCAAAAACAAUUCAAGGUAUGCAACAGUGAACACAAGUUGUGUUCAGACCUUGUUACCAAAUACCAGUUCUUGAGAGAAAAGACUGGCAAAGCAUGUGCUUAAAAACUAAUUCAAAAAAGAAAGAACACCUUUGAUUAAUGUUGAAGAAAAAAUGACAUUUGCUGCAGAUUAAGGAUCUAUCUGGUCAAGAUUUGUAUCAAAAGAGGUCAAGGUCAGUUUGGGUAAGAGUCACAGACAGAGUCUGAAGGCACAAACAGAGAUCAGCGAGAGCCAAAGAAGAGCAGCAGGGGGAAAUAUUGUUACUGAGCUGGAUGAAGAAAAACAAAUCUGUGUUGAUUUGGCACACAAAGGUGUCAGUGGUUGCUGCUGUCCUGCUGUUUCCACUUCUGUUAAAGGAGAGUCUGAGAUCUCUUUAUGUCAUCAGUGAGGAACCAGAUACACCCAACCCUGUGCUGUUUAUAAAGGGACAUGCCUUGGAUGCAGAGUCUCUUUAAGAAAUAAUGAUGGAAGUGAAGGAGGAGGUCUGUGAAGUAGACGAUGUGAACACAGCUCUACUCUUCAACUUCAACACUGAAUAUGCUUCAAAUUUGAGAGAUACCCUGACUUUUACUGAAAACUGUUUAAUGUAUCAACAAAAACCAAUAUGCCACCCACAAUGGCCAAUUAUUAUUAUUUGUUUUAUUAAAUUAAUGUGUAUGUAUAUAAAUGCAUGAUAUUUAUAUUUGUUUAUGUAUGUGUUUGGUAGUUUGUUUAGUAAUACAUAUUUAUGGAUGAUUGUUUAUUUAUUUGUGUUUGUUGGUUUGUUUGUAAUACAUAUUUAUGUAUUAAACAGUUUAUGGAGAAUCAUGGUGUUCUGUGUUUAUAGUGAAAUUGGAUUAGUAAUGUAUAAUAAUAAUAAUAACAACAACAACAAUAAUGUUAUUGCUAUCUAGAAAAGGGUUCAUAAAGGAACUGAUGAGGGUCAUUAAUGCACCUUUAAAUGAAGGUUCCAAUUAGAACCUUUUCAAAAAGGUUCAAAAAUGAACCUUUAAGGUUCCCCCACAGUUGCAAUCUCCAGGAACCUCAAAAGGUUCAUUUUUGAACCUUUUCUUCUAAGAGAGAGCACUUUAGCAUCCUGAAUCAUGGACUAUAACCUCCAGCAACGAAAAAACUCAAGCGAUAAACAUAUAUGUUGGAUACGGACGCCUACAUAGAUGCAGUCAACUAUGGAAAAAGUGAUUUAAAAGCGUUUUUCUUCUUCUUCUUUUUCCUGAAGUAUCAAUUUUGUAGUUAUUUUGAGCCAUGUAUUCUCCUCUGUUCUUCAUCGUCCUCCAUGGCAUCUUCCUUGUGUGUGCCUCCAAUGCAUGGAGCAGUCAAAGUAUCCCACGAAAAACCAUUCAGUAUGAGGAUAACAAUGAGAUCACGUUUAAAGGGGAAGGUGUUUGGAAUUACUCUACAAUGCUGAUUAGGGAGGAUCUGGGCUUGCUGGUAGUGGGGGCGAGAGAGGCUGUCUAUGCCCUUGACAUAAAAUAUAUCAGCAUUGCCAAGUCUGAGGUGCUUUGGAAAGUUACAGAGGAGAAACAAAAGGAAUGCACCUCUAAAGGAAAACAUCCUGACAUCGACUGUCGAAACUAUGUGCGGAUGCUGCAUCAGAUGAACGACAGCGUGAUGUACAUGUGUGGGACAAAUACUUUUAGUUUUCAUUGUGUUUGAACAGACGUUUGGUGACGGGCAGCUGAAACUGCUCUUCCGUCAUGGCUGAUCAAGACUUGUCUGCUGCCACGUCCUUAAACUUCCUGGGUUCGGAGCAGGUCAUUCUCCGCACCUCUCCCAUUUCACUGCGGACAGUGUUUAAGAGCUCUUGGCUCAAUGGUAUGUCAGAUGUUACGACAAACGUCAUCUUCGCUCAGAUUUCAUUCCUUCAGGGAAGCGAAUCAUCUGUGCCCUAUGGAAACCAUCUCGCGUUCUCAACGGUUUUUUCUUCUUUCGGCUUAGCCUUGACUCGUCGAGUAUUUUCGAAAUGCAUGGACGCAAUUCUGGCCCUGUUGCGGCUCCAGGGCGUUCGAGUAUUGAAUUGCCUGGACGAUUGGCUGGUGUUAAGCACAAUCGCAGACUCAAGCACACUCCCAUCGGGAUCUUGUGCUGAAUCAUCUAAACAGCCUGGGCUCAUGCACAAAUUUCUAGAAGAGUGUUUUAAUUCCCUCUCAGCGGAUAACCUUCUGGAAUAAACUUGACUCUCGCGCGAUGACAGCAAGACUAUCUCUCUCGCGCACUCAGUCUCUCGCGUCAUGCGUACGUCACUUCAAAGUUGGUCACACAGUGACGGUGAGUUUGUGCCUCAGACUUUUAGGUCUAAUGGUAUCGGCAUCCCCUGUAAUCCGUCUGGGCUUACUUCAUAUGCACCCUUUCAGUGGUGGAAGACAAGCCAGAACAUUUCACCCCGUUGUCUUCCGCAUCAGACGAUUUCGGUGACACGGAGGUGUGUUAUGUCAAUAAGACAAUGGAUGUCAACCGAAUUCCUUCUAGCUGGAGUUCGGCUGGGGAUUUGUGCUUCCCCAGAGACUGUCACGACGGACGCGUCUUUGACCAGUUGGGGAGCUGUUUGUCAAGGGCGCUCAGCUCACGGAAUUUGGAUGGCGACACAACGCAGUUGGCAUAUAAACAGGUUGGAAUUACUGGCGGUUUUUCUAGCUCUCCAGUUUUUCUCGAAUCUGCUGAUCGGCCGUCAUGUACUACUCAGAUCAGACAACAUAGCGGUUGUGUCGUAUCUGUAUUAUCAAGGAGGAUUACGCUCUCGCCCCUUGUGCAGGCUGGCGAGAAGCUCACAAUUGGUAACAGUGUGAGCUCACAAUUGGCCCAGAACCAGCUUGUAUGCUUUUUUCCGAUUCGUUAAUUCCAGUGGUGUUAUCCAAAAGGAUUCGGCUGGACAGAGUGGAGCAGCUGCUGCUGGUAGCUCCGUGGUGGCCCACACAGCCAUGGUUUGAGGACGUGGUCAGUCUGUUAGCGGGCUCUCAAAGGAGAUUCCCCUCAGACAGGACUUACCUUCGCGACCACAGGGAAUGAUUUGGCACCAUGGCCAGAUCUAUGGAAGCUGUGGGCGUGGCCUCUGAGCGGAGUGAGUUAAUAUGUCCCGGUCUUUCUGUUGAAAUCACCGAGACUAUAAUGAAUUCUAGGGCAGCUUCUACGAGACGCUUAUAUGCUUUCCAAUGGAAACUGUUUACGACCUGGUGUGGAAUUCGUAAUUGGAUCUGGUUUACUGCCCAGUGGCUUCAGUACUGAGUUCCUUCAAGACCGUUUCUCUAUAGAGUAACGCCAGCCACUCUGAAAGUUUAUGUGGCAGCCAUUUCAGCUAACCACGUGUAUAUAUAUAUAUAUAUAUAGAUGGUGCUUCAGUGGGCCGUCAUCCGCUGGUCUCUCGUUUUAUACAAGGUGCGUGACGGCUGAGGCCUUUCCGCCCUGUGCGAGUUCCUUCAUGGGAUUUAUCCAUUGUGUUGCAAGGUUUAUCAGGGCAUUCGUUAGCCCUUUGAAACUAUACCAGAUAAAAUCCUGACUAAAAGACAGUUCUUCUUGUGGCUUUAUCCUCCCUCAAGAAAGUUGGGGAUUUACAGGCUUUUUCUGUUUCGCCCUCGUGCAUGGAUUUUCACCAGGCUCUGUGGAAGCAUUGCUGCGACCGAGGCCUAAUUAUGUCCCUAGGUCGCUUCGAACCCUUUCACUUUCAACAAGUGGUCUUGGAGGCUUUACCCCCUGCAGAGGUGGGGUCAGGAGAUCUGAGUCUUUGCUCUGUCAGAGCGCUGAAGACUUAUGUUGAUCGAACAGCUCCAUGGCGUGAGUCCAACCAGCUUUGUCUGUUAGGACACAAAAUAGAGGUCAUGCUGUCACAAAGCAGCGCAUGUCACAUUGGCUGAUGGAGACUAUAUCUUUAGCCUAUGAGGCGCACGGACUCGCUUCGCCCUUAGGAAUUAGAGCUUAUUCCACGAGAGCAGUGGCUUCAUCACAAGCUUUCUCAGUGGUUCUUCUAUAUGAUGUCUGUGCUGCGGCAGGACGUUCUUCACCGAGCACUUUUGUCAAGAUUUACAGUCUGGAUGUGAGGAUGGCUCCUUGUUCCCGGGUUCUGUCUGCUUUAGCAGAUGCUUUCCUUGGAUUCCAACUAUCAGGUACGUCAGGUGUUAUGGUAUAGCGUUCCCAUAGCCGGUGACGUCACCGCAGCAUCGAAGUGACCUAUGAAAGGGAACUAUUCUGUCCUAGAUGCGUGUUCCAUCUACGCAACAUUGACAGAUAGCUAACAGGAGUCAGAAAAGGGCAGACGCAGUAGUAAAGUUGAAAGUUGUUUUUGUGCUUUUUUUUAAAACUGAAAUAUACAAAGAUUACAAAUGUCUUGUUACAAAAUAUUCUCAAAAUAAAUACAAAUGAAUUUCCGCUGUUUACAAAUAUUCUCUGAGCACAUAUUAAAAGGCUACAAUCAGUUCUUCUUAGUGUAAUUAUAAACAAAUUGCCAUCACUGUUGAAUAGUUCGUUUUUAACCUGUUAACUGUCACUCACGUUUUUGAAGACUUGAAUGUGCAUGAUACAAACCUAAAUUUUUAUAAUUCAUGACUGAAAACAUUUUGUAACA